GGUUCUGGCAUCGAUGAAGAACGCAGCAAAAUGCGAUAAGUAAUGUGAAUUGCAGAAUUCAGUGAAUCAUCGAAUCUUUGAACGCACAUUGCGCCCGCCAGUAUUCUGGCGGGCAUGCCUGUCUGAGCGUCAUUUCAACCCUCAGGACCCGUUCGCGGGACCUGGCGUU
rnacentral:rRNA from 1 species